rnacentral:rRNA from 1 species
GCGUACCUUUUGUAUAAUGGGUCAGCGACUUAAUUUCAGUAGCGAGGUUAACCGUUUAGGGGAGCCGUAGGGAAACCGAGUCUUAAUAGGGCGUAUAGUUGCUGGGAUUAGACCCGAAACCGGGCGAUCUAUCCAUGGGCAGGUUGAAGAUGCGGUAACACGCAUUGGAGGACCGAACCGACUACCGUUGAAAAGUUAGCGGAUGACCUGUGGAUCGGAGUGAAAGGCUAAUCAAGCUCGGAGAUAGCUGGUUCUCCCCGAAAGCUAUUUAGGUAGCGCCUCGGACGAAUACCACUGGGGGUAGAGCACUGUUUCGGCUAGGGGGUCAUCCCGACUUACCAAACCGAUGCAAACUCCGAAUACCAGUGAGUACUAUCCGGGAGACACACGGCGGGUGCUAACGUCCGUCGUGAAGAGGGAAACAACCCAGACCGCCAGCUAAGGUCCCCAAAUUCCAGUUAAGUGGGAAACGAUGUGGGAAGGCUCAGACAGCUAGGAGGUUGGCUUAGAAGCAGCCACCCUUUAAAGAAAGCGUAAUAGCUCACUAGUCGAGUCGGCCUGCGCGGAAGAUGUAACGGGGCUCAAACUGGAUACCGAAGCUGCGGCUGCAUACUAUGUAUGCGGGGUAGGGGAGCGUUGUGUAAGUCUGUGAAGGUGUGUUGAGAAGCAUGCUGGAGAUAUCACAAGUGCGAAUGCUGACGUGAGUAACGAUAAUGGGAGUGAAAAACUCCCACGCCGAAAGACCAAGGUUUCCUGCGCAACGCUAAUCGGCGCAGGGUGAGUCGGCCCCUAAGGCGAGGCAGAAAUGCGUAGCUGAUGGGAAACAGGUUAAUAUUCCUGUACUUCUUAUAACUGCGAUGGAGAGACGGAGAAGGCUAUGCCUACCGGGCGUUGGUUGUCCCGGGGAAAGGCUGUAGGCUGAGGUGUUAGGCAAAUCCGGCACCUUAAGGCUGAGAGUCGAGACCACUGGUCCUUUGUGACCGGGAAGUGGUUGAUGCCAUGCUUCCAGGAAAAUCUUCUAAGCUUCAGGUUAUAAGGAACCGUACCCCAAACCGACACAGGUGGUUGGGAUGAGUAUUCUAAGGCGCUUGAGAGAACUCGGGUGAAGGAACUAGGCAAAGUGGUACCGUAACUUCGGGAGAAGGUACGCCGCUGACGGUGAUGAGACUUGCUCUCUGAGCUAUCGGCGGUCGCAGUGAAAAGGCCCCUGCAACUGUUUAUUAAAAACACAGCACUCUGCAAACGCGUAAGCGGACGUAUAGGGUGUGACGCCUGCCCGGUGCCGGAAGGUUAAUUGAUGGGGUUAGCUUCGGCGAAGCUCUUGAUCGAAGCCCCGGUAAACGGCGGCCGUAACUAUAACGGUCCUAAGGUAGCGAAAUUCCUUGUCGGGUAAGUUCCGACCUGCACGAAUGGCGUAAUGAUGGGGGCGCUGUCUCCACCCGAGACUCAGUGAAAUCGAAAUCGCAGUGAAGAUGCUGUGUACCCGCGGCUAGACGGAAAGACCCCGUGAACCUUUACUAUAGCUUCACAGUGGACUUUGAACCUGUUUGUGUAGGAUAGCUGGGAGACUUUGAAGCAGUGACGCUAGUCAUUGUGGAGUCGUCCUUGAAAUACCAGCCUGGCAUGUUUGAGGUUCUAACCUGGGUCCCUUAUCGGGAUCGGGGACAUUGUGUGGUGGGUAGUUUGACUGGGGCGGUCUCCUCCCAAAGAGUAACGGAGGAGCACAAAGGUACCCUCAGCACGGUCGGACAUCGUGCAACGAGCGUAAAGGUAGAAGGGUGCUUGACUGCGAGACUUACAAGUCGAGCAGGUGCGAAAGCAGGUCUUAGUGAUCCGGUGGUUCUGUAUGGAAGGGCCAUCGCUCAACGGAUAAAAGGUACU